GACGAACGCUGGCGGCGUGCUUAACACAUGCAAGUCGAACGGAAAGGCCCUGCUUUUGUGGGGUGCUCGAGUGGCGAACGGGUGAGUAACACGUGAGUAACCUGCCCUUGACUUUGGGAUAACUUCAGGAAACUGGGGCUAAUACCGGAUAGGAGCUCCUGCUGCAUGGUGGGGGUUGGAAAGUUUCGGCGGUUGGGGAUGGACUCGCGGCUUAUCAGCUUGUUGGUGGGGUAGUGGCUUACCAAGGCUUUGACGGGUAGCCGGCGUGAGAGGGUGACCGGCCACAUUGGGACUGAGAUACGGCCCAGACUCCUACGGGAGGCAGAAGUGGGGAAUAUUGCAAAAUGGGCGGAAGCCUGAUGCAGCAACGCCGCGUGCGGGAUGACGGCCUUCGGGUUGUAAACCGCUUGCGCCUGUGACGAAGCGUGAGUGACGGGAAUGGGUAAAGAAGCACCGGCUAACUACGGG
rnacentral:rRNA from 1 species